AUGAACAUUAACAUCCAAUUUCAAAGGUACGGCUUGUUUCCUUCGUCAAAUUGUGAUCAAGUACCAACAUUGACUGGGGUUGUUAUACUAUCAGUUACCAUGACAAGUAGUGCAAUGUGCAAUGUGAUUUCUGCCCCCCAUUGGUAUUGCUAUUGGACAAGACCGAUCCUCAGCUUUACUAAACUACAGGGUGGCUCAUUAAAUGUCCUCGAGUUCAGUUAUUCUCCCCUUAAUACUAGAUCCCAUUCACCUCUAGACUAG